GAGAGUUUGAUCCUGGCUCAGGACGAACGCUGGCGGCGUGCCUAAUACAUGCAAGUAGAACGCUGAAGAGAGGAGCUUGCUCUUCUUGGAUGAGUUGCGAACGGGUGAGUAACGCGUAGGUAACCUGCCUUGUAGCGGGGGAUAACUAUUGGAAACGAUAGCUAAUACCGCAUAACAAUGGAUGACACAUGUCAUUUAUUUGAAAGGGGCAAUUGCUCCACUACAAGAUGGACCUGCGUUGUAUUAGCUAGUAGGUGAGGUAAUGGCUCACCUAGGCGACGAUACAUAGCCGACCUGAGAGGGUGAUCGGCCACACUGGGACUGAGACACGGCCCAGACUCCUACGGGAGGCAGCAGUAGGGAAUCUUCGGCAAUGGGGGCAACCCUGACCGAGCAACGCCGCGUGAGUGAAGAAGGUUUUCGGAUCGUAAAGCUCUGUUGUAAGUCAAGAACGGGUGUGAGAGUGGAAAGUUCACACUGUGACGGUAGCUUACCAGAAAGGGACGGCUAACUACGUGCCAGCAGCCGCGGUAAUACGUAGGUCCCGAGCGUUGUCCGGAUUUAUUGGGCGUAAAGCGAGCGCAGGCGGUUUGAUAAGUCUGAAGUUAAAGGCUGUGGCUCAACCAUAGUUCGCUUUGGAAACUGUCAAACUUGAGUGCAGAAGGGGAGAGUGGAAUUCCAUGUGUAGCGGUGAAAUGCGUAGAUAUAUGGAGGAACACCGGUGGCGAAAGCGGCUCUCUGGUCUGUAACUGACGCUGAGGCUCGAAAGCGUGGGGAGCGAACAGGAUUAGAUACCCUGGUAGUCCACGCCGUAAACGAUGAGUGCUAGGUGUUGGAUCCUUUCCGGGAUUCAGUGCCGCAGCUAACGCAUUAAGCACUCCGCCUGGGGAGUACGACCGCAAGGUUGAAACUCAAAGGAAUUGACGGGGGCCCGCACAAGCGGUGGAGCAUGUGGUUUAAUUCGAAGCAACGCGAAGAACCUUACCAGGUCUUGACAUCCCGAUGCUAUUUCUAGAGAUAGAAAGUUACUUCGGUACAUCGGUGACAGGUGGUGCAUGGUUGUCGUCAGCUCGUGUCGUGAGAUGUUGGGUUAAGUCCCGCAACGAGCGCAACCCCUAUUGUUAGUUGCCAUCAUUCAGUUGGGCACUCUAGCGAGACUGCCGGUAAUAAACCGGAGGAAGGUGGGGAUGACGUCAAAUCAUCAUGCCCCUUAUGACCUGGGCUACACACGUGCUACAAUGGUUGGUACAACGAGUUGCGAGUCGGUGACGGCGAGCUAAUCUCUUAAAGCCAAUCUCAGUUCGGAUUGUAGGCUGCAACUCGCCUACAUGAAGUCGGAAUCGCUAGUAAUCGCGGAUCAGCACGCCGCGGUGAAUACGUUCCCGGGCCUUGUACACACCGCCCGUCACACCACGAGAGUUUGUAACACCCGAAGUCGGUGAGGUAACCUUUUGGAGCCAGCCGCCUAAGGUGGGACAGAUGAUUGGGGUGAAGUCGUAACAAGGUAGCCGUAUCGGAAGGUGCGGCUGGAUCAC
rnacentral:rRNA from 1 species